rnacentral:rRNA from 1 species
UACGGAGGGAGCUAGCGUUGUUCGGAAUCACUGGGCGUAAAGCGCACGUAGGCGGCUUGUUAAGUCAGGGGUGAAAUCCUGGAGCUCAACUCCAGAACUGCCUUUGAUACUGGCGAGCUUGAGUUCGGGAGAGGUGAGUGGAACUGCGAGUGUAGAGGUGAAAUUCGUAGAUAUUCGCAAGAACACCAGUGGCGAAGGCGGCUCACUGGCCCGAUACUGACGCUGAGGUGCGAAAGCGUGGGGAGCAAACAGG